rnacentral:tmRNA from 1 species
GGGGGCGUUUUUGGAUUCGACAGGGGUCCCCCGAGCUUAUUAAGCGUGUCGGAGGGUUGUCUCCGUCAUCAACACAUUCGGUUAAAUAUAACUGACAAAUCAAACAAUAAUUUAGCAGUAGCUGCGUAAUAGCGCUCUGCAUCGCCUAACAGCAUUUCCUAUGUGCUGUUAACGCGAUUCAACCCUAAUAGGAUAUGCUAAACACUGCCGUUUGAAGUCUGUUUAGAUGAAAUUUAAUCAAACUAGCAUAUUGUUGGU